GGCUGGUAGUCGAGUGGUGUAAACUGUCGGUUUUUGACAGGUACGACCCGGGUUCGAAUCCCGCAUUAGACA